GGAACAUUAGAUACAUUUCUCAAGACUUUAUUCCUAACUUGAAACAAGUAAACAGAAAUUUCAACUUUCAACAACAUUUAUCAUGAAAAGUACAGCAUGGAGCCACUCCAACAUGCUAAGGUACAAAUACAUGCACAAGACCAGUAAGACUUUGUCAGAUUUCACAAACAAAUAUAGCAGUAUUCACAAAGCUUCCAUUAAGAUUGUAAGGAGUCAUGAGGUGAUCUCAAAAACAAGCUUUCAACAACAUUUCCCAAAAUUUGAGCAAUAUGGUAGAACAAAUCAUGCAUCCCAGUUAC
rnacentral:misc_RNA from 1 species